AUUCUUCUUUUUUGUAAAGAAAUAGGUUGGCUUAUUCUUUGAUGGAGUUAUCCUGCUUGUGCUUCAUCGUUGAAUAAUAUUUUAGGAGUAUAUAUUUUCUGAUGCAUGAUUCCUGUUUCUCAUAUCUUAACAGAAAAAGGAGUGCUAGGCUUGUGAGAUAUAAUUGGGAGUUCAAUUCAUAUGUGAAUUCAUUUGCAACAUUUCAUGCAUAACCAAUCUCUAUUUUUUAUAUAUAUAUUGAAAUCCUAUAGUACAACUUUAAAGACACAAGAUAUCUAUUGUGCAAUCCGUUCAUCGUAGAUGCUACUCCCUCCGGUCCACAAUAAAUGACCAAUUUGCUUUUUCAUUUUGGUCCGAACAACUGAAAAGUCAUUCAAAGACUCGAGAACAACUACUUUAGCAAUUGAGAAGUCAUUCAAUCUCCAUGGAUAUCAAAGUUGAGGAACAACUUGAAACAAUUCAAGACUUGAAGGAAAUCAAAGUUGAUGACUUCAUUAAGAUCAAGUAGUUGUUCUCCACCAACAUGCUCAUCCUCGGAUUCCAAAGGAAUGUUUAGAUCAAUUUGAAGUGGAGAAAUUUGGUGCUUUUCCAUUUUAGCCAUGUUUAACAAUAACCUGGAAAUUGAGCUUCCUUUUAUAAGAUAGUUUUUCGUGGCAAAAAUUGAAAAAAUUGGCUCCAGUUUGUUUUUUUAAAGACGUUCUUAAAAUUUUAGCAAAAGUUUCAAAUUUUAUUUUGAUUUGAAUAAUGUAGUGAUUUGAGAAGAGAAGUAAAUGCCACUAUAACUAUGUGACCAAUAUUUAAUUAAUGGUAGUUUAGUCAUACUAGGUAUUUUUGUAUAGAAUUUAGUAUUUUCUUAAUGGGCGUGCCUAAAGCAAACUGGUCACUUAUUGUGGACCGGAGGGAGUAAUCUUAAACUGGAGUAAAUUCCUUGGAUAGUACACAACUUACGAAAAUAUCUAAAUCAGAAAAUAAAUAAAACAUACAUUUGACAUGUUAUAUCAUAUUAAAAUCCUUUUUUUUUAAGAGAAACUUUCAGAAACCACUAUGUUUUAGUGGUUAUUA